rnacentral:rRNA from 1 species
UACGGAGGGGGCUAGCGUUGUUCGGAAUUACUGGGCGUAAAGCGCACGUAGGCGGCUUUGCAAGUCAGAGGUGAAAGCCCGGGGCUCAACCCCGGAAUUGCCUUUAAGACUGCAUCGCUUGAAUCCGGGAGAGGUGAGUGGAAUUCCGAGUGUAGAGGUGAAAUUCGUAGAUAUUCGGAAGAACACCAGUGGCGAAGGCGGCUCACUGGACCGGCAUUGACGCUGAGGUGCGAAAGCGUGGGGAGCAAACAGG